rnacentral:lncRNA from 1 species
ACGAACAACUCCUUCUUUGCUUCAUCAGAUUCACCCUCACCGGUGUACUUUCCAAGCUGAGCCAGUGAGUUGGACUUGGCACGGAAAAGGAGUGCAUCCUGUGCCGCCUUCACGUUCUCAGGGAGGCCUCCCCAUGUCUUCAAUGUAGUGUUCUGGAGGGCUCUGGCGUAUGAGAAUGACACGUGCCAUGGGUUAGGGGAUUGGUUUAUGGCAUUCAAGUUGAGGGUUGCUUCAACCUCAGAUUGUCCACCAGAUAAGAACUGCACAACAUAACUUCGGUCAGUACAUGAACAUUGUAUUAGUGAGUCAGAGGGAUGCUUUUGGAACAUAAAGAAUAAUGCAUUCGAUUGUGUCACUUACCAUAAUUCCAGGGACAGCAGAGGGAACUCUCCUGUGAAGGAGUUUGAGGGUGUACUCAGCAACCUUCUGAGGAGAUGCCUUCUCCUUGGAUUCAGCUCCCGGAGUAACCAUGCUAGGCUUCAGGAGAAUACCCUCAAACAGGACAUUGUUCUCAGCAAGGUAGAAGAAAACUUCAGCCCAGACCUUUUGGGCGACUUCGAAAGUCCUUUCAAUACUAUGUUCACCAUCAAGCAAGAUCUCUGGCUCCACAAUUGGAACCAACCCGUUGUCCUAGAAAACCAUUAAAUGAAAAAACAAUAAAAAACCGCACAUUCAGAAAACCGUAGAAACAUAUCCUAGCUCAAGUUACUUAUAUAACUGUAACAAAAAAGGUGUUAAUUAUAUGAGUUGAAUGGUUUUCUCACCUGAGAAAUUGCAGCAUAACGAGCCAGACCCCAGGCUGCUUCCUUAACUGCGAGAGCAGAGGGACCGUUGGGGAUGCUCACAACAGUACGCCUAACAUACGUAUUCAGAUAAAUUUAGUACUGUGAUGUAAAUAUGAACAUCAAUAUCAGAUUUUUAUGCAUUACAAGGGGAAUCUAGAUACACACUCACCAUUUGGCGAAGCGGGCACCUUGCUGGUAGUACGCAGCUGUGCGAGAUGCAAGACCGUCCAGACCUUGGCACCAUGACUCAUCAUUGGAACCAACUAGGGGCACCAAACCCUAUUUUUCUCGGCAUAUUAACCACUUGUUAACAUAUAUGAUGCCAUAAAUACUGCUUAACUCCUCUACCAUCAAUCAUCAAGUCUCUCCAAUAAAAUAGUACUAAUCAAGAAAAAUAAUCCACUCUAACAUAAAUCAUUUCAGUGUGUUUGCUUUCACAUACAAAUGUUACGAAGUAGGCGAAAAUUCUAAUCUGCUCCGAGAACUAGAGAUUUUCUUACAUCUGUUUUGAGGGCUAUUAGUAUCCCUACUUCAACUACAUUCUUAAUGUAGUUAAUGUUUUACAAAUCUCUUGCUCAAAGAGCACCUAGGAAUCUCUCACACACAAGGUACCUAUAAUGCUUAGAAUAACAUCAAAAUAUGUUAAAAUUUCCUAUAUGUUACAUAUAACGAUUGUUUAUGUAAGGGCGUGAAACAUCUUCCUAUAUUAUUCAUAUCAGAAUUCUUGCUUAUUCUUUUCAAUAUUCGUUAUUAAGGCGCUGCACGAUCUAAAAUUGUAUACAAGAGAGUUUAAUUCUGGGUGGCCUACCUUGUCAACUUUAAUACCAGGAAUAAUGUUCUGCUCAACAAGUACAUCUACAAUCUUCUUUCCAUCAACUGUGGAUUGGUAGAGAGUUUCCUCAAAGAGAAUGGCACCAGAGAUGUACUG